AUGACCUUAAACCAUUCAAGUGGCCAGGUUCAGAGCUGUAGCGGAAAAACGGAUAUCAGUCCAAACGGAAGACUGCGCAGAGGAGUGAGAAGGCAGCUUUUAUUACACUGGUGGGCGGGGAGCGCAGGCUCAAAUCACCAGCCCCGAGUCAGACACAAUUGGGUUCAAGACCUUGGAGACCAGCACUGUUAUGAGCCGUCCAGGUGGAAAAGACACAGCCGGGAGCCCGCUCUCCUGGGGGAAAACGGCUCUUAGUGACGAAAGCCCGGGUCCCAAGAAACUUAGGCUAUGAUGAUAGGGCCCCUUUCCGAGAGCUGGAAGUCUCCAGGGGAAGGAACUGUCUCUCUGGAGCCCCAGAAGCCCAAGAUGAACUCCCUUACUAGGUGCAACCCCAAGGCUCCCUCUGAGCCCCCCU
rnacentral:lncRNA from 1 species